UACGUAGGGCGCGAGCGUUGUCCGGAUUUAUUGGGCGUAAAGAGCUCGUAGGCGGUUUGUCGCGUCGUCCGUGAAAACUCACAGCUUAACUGUGAGCUUGCGGUCGAUACGGGCAGGCUAGAGUUCGGUAGGGGAGACUGGAAUUCCUGGUGUAGCGGUGAAAUGCGCAGAUAUCAGGAGGAACACCGGUGGCGAAGGCGGGUCUCUGGGCCGAUACUGACGCUGAGGAGCGAAAGCGUGGGGAGCGAACAGG
rnacentral:rRNA from 1 species